rnacentral:lncRNA from 1 species
UUUUUUUCUGGGCUGGCGGAGUGGAUGGAGGUCCGUUUUCCUCGUCGUAGCCCUCCUCCUCACCCUCGUCGUAGUCGUCCUCUUCAUUGUCGCCACUUCCCUCAGCUUUCUCAACAUCCUCUUCUUCCUCAUCUUCCUCGGGCUCCUCAACAUGAUGAGACGACAAGGCAACAUGGCUAGAGGAAGCUGCACCGGCAUGGCUCAAGGAGUCGAUGAUCUAUCCACUAUCAUGUGAAGACGGGCCAGGAGCAUGCACAUCAGCUCACCUAGAGCACCCAAGCAUACUUCCUAGCUUUCGGCAACACUUCAUGAACUUUUGUAACAACAAAGAGAGUUGAACCUCGUUACAUGAAGGUUAUG